GACGAACGCUGGCGGCGUGCUUAACACAUGCAAGUCGAACGGAAAGGCCUGCUUUCCCUUGUGGAUUGCGGGUGCUCGAGUGGCGAACGGGUGAGUAACACGUGAGUGAUCUGCCCCCAACUUGGGUAUAAGCCUGGGAAACUGGGUCUAAUUCCCGAUAGGACUGCAGGGUGGUGCCUGUGGUGGAAAACGAUUUUCUAGUGGUUGGGGAUGAGCUGCCGGCCUAUCAGCUUGUUGGUGGGGGAAUGGCCUACCAAGGCGGCGACGGGUAGCCGGACGGGGAGCGGGCACGGCGAAAUUGGGACAGGGUGCCGGCCCAGACUGCUACGGGAGGCAGCAGAUGGGCAGAAUGCACAGUGAGCGGAAGCCUGAUGCAGCGACGCAGCGUGGGGGAUGACGGCCUUCGGGUUGUAAACUCCUUUCGACCGCGAGGAAGCCACCUGGUUGGAAGGGUGGUGACGGUAGUGGUAGAAGAAGCACCGGCUAACUACGUG
rnacentral:rRNA from 1 species